UGCUUUGAGGAUGUGAUGCUAAGAUGAUUCGUGGAGCUCCCACGCUCUGCAACUGCCCCCUGCUGCACUCCUCCCUUACUGUAAGGUUUCUCCUAACACCUAAACAGGAGAGUGGCUGCAGCUGGGAAGGGAAAGAUACGUCAGGGGGCUGGGGCUGAGAGCUUGUUUUCUCUUUAAUGAGAGACUUGGUGUCCCUUUAGACCCAUGUAAUCGUGUUUAGACACUGACAGAUGCCUUAGGAAUUGGUAUAAUGCUAAUGGAGUCUUACGGAUGAGAUAUAAAAUAUGUAUAUAUAAAAUACAACAAACCCAUGGCCUCCCAGGGCCUGCCCAGUUGUCGUUAUGCUGCUUAGCAAUAGCAUGGAUGCAGUGCCAGAGAUAGAACCCAGAUGUUCCUGCUCCAAAAGUCUAGGCCCCAACCACUUGAGCUCAAGGAGAAUCCCCAUUAGCCAUAUGGGGGUAUGGCACACAUUUGGGCAGUCCUGGUUCAGUCCUGCAAAGAAGAAUGGGGGUGUACAUACACCCUAGCCUGUACAGUGCAGUCAGCUCUGCCUUUAACUCACUGCUGGGCUCAGCACCCCCGGAUUCACUGAGGCUCUGCUUUGCCAGAGGAUGGCAGCGAUGGGGUCCUGAUGAUGCAGAGAACAGCUCUGUUGCUUUGGGGGUGAGGGGCUCUUUGCAGCCCUCAUCCCGAACUGCAGGGCAGAGUGCCCACAGGACUCUGCUCUGCCCCCUGCACCAGCUCACCAGCUGUCUUGCCAGUCUAUGGAUGUGUGCGGGCUUGUUUUUAUAGAAACCACUGCUGAGAAAUGAGGUCACUCUGACCCAGAGAAAGAGAGAAGUCCGGUCUGGUUAUUCCCCUAGACCUUCUGCCCCCAAUCAAGUAAACAGAGCUACUGAGUCUGCUCUGCUGUAUGUGCUGACCUGGGUGUGAACUGGAGAGAGAGGCCCUGCGCCAGGCCCCUGCACUGGACACGCCAGCACUCUGUGGCAGCUUGGAUCUGGAGCCACACUGGGUCGGGCCCAUGUGUGUAGCCCUGACUGAAAGGCAUCUAGUCCAAGAGUCUUCCCUAGAUAGUGCUGCCUAUAGUUAAAGUUGCCCAACUUCCCUAUAUGAGACUUUGUUUUCAGUUGCUUAUAACACUGCCAAACUUCAACUGUUUAGGCUGAAAUUUUCUGUGCUAGGUGUCUGCCUCAGGCUGAGUGUAGUUGGGAAGUUUUAGCUAAAAUUAUUCAGCCUUUUUGAAGAAUGUUACAGAUAUAUAUGUUGUUUUGCCCUUGUUGAAAAAAAACCCUCUUACAAACACUUUGUUGAGAAGCUCUAGAGCCUACGUGUUUUGGAACAGGGACUUGGAAUGUGGCAGGGAGUUUGCCCUGGGGUCAAGGAUGUGCCUUUUGCUGUUUCUAUGAAAAUUCACCCAAGUUUGCAAAUGUUUGAUAGAGACUUAUUAGAGUGGUGUUAAAUUCCCCAAAGAUUCCAUCUGCACCGAGCAUGCUCCACCGUCCUCACAGCUCCUGCAUGUGACUGGAUGAUGCGUGUGUCAUCUGGCAGAAUGACUGUGCAUGUGCCAGUCCGGGGGUUGCAGAGGCUGAGCAGGACUUGCCCUGGAGCUGCAGCUCCUGGAUGCCAGUGGCUGCUGUGCCAGGCAUGGGAACUGAGAGCCUAUCUCUCUGGUGUUCUCAAUGCCCCUGCUGCUGUUCCCAGGCAGCGAGGAGGAGGAGGAGGAAACAGCCACAUGAUCCUGGACUUGAACCUGGGAGUUCUGUCCUGAGUCUCCACUUUCCUCGUCUGUCAGCAAAUAGCUAUGAAACCCUCUUGUGAAAUGAAUGUGUCUCACCCUACGUCUAGUGAGUGGUCCACACAGAAAAUAAUAGCCUUCUACUGCUACCACUUAGAGGGGCUUUAAAGGCCCAAACCCUGCGAAUGACCCAAGUUCUCAGUCAAUCCAGCUUCAUAUGAUGGAAUUUCUGUGUUUUCAGGACCCCAGCCUCAUUCAGUGCAUGGGAUGCAUCUGCACUGGGGCUGAAUCAGGGCUGUGUAGUGAAGGAGGCUGUUGUCUGUAGGAUUCCUGCCUCAUUCGUUGCAGAAGUUUGAA